AGGAUCAUUAUUGAAUAAUUCUUGA
rnacentral:rRNA from 1 species